CUGUCUCCGUGGUGUUGGGGAAGCUGGGGAUGACACUAGCUGCAGGAGCAGGAGGGUUAUAUGGGAUGCCACUGCACUUCUGGGAUUCGAGGAUCCCCUCUUUUCGGCCUCCCGAGCGCUCGCUCGUCCGCUCUCCCCGGUUCACCCCUUCUCGCCCCACCCCUUCUCGCCCCACCCCCACUGCGGAGCCGGACCUUGCCCGGGGCUUAGCGAUCCCGGAGCUGGAAUCUAGGCCAGGCCUGCCGGGCGCCACCCCUAACCACGGCCAAGAGCACCGCUGAGGAAGCAAGCUACCCAGGGACCGAUCAGCAGACCUAGGGACAGACGGACGGACGGCGCCCGAUGGCCGCGCCUGGAGAGCCCUGCGAGGGACCCGGGGUCUGGAACCAGACGGAGCCCAUGCCUGCCACUGCCCACCUACUGAGCCUGUGCUUCCUGAAAACAGCAGGGGUCUGGGUGCCCCCCUUGUACCUCUGGGUCAUCGGCCCCAUCUACCUGCUCUACAUCCACCACCAUGGCAAGGGCUACCUCCGGAUGUCCCCCCUCUUCAAGGCCAAAAUGGUGCUUGGGUUUGCCCUCAUAAUCCUGUGCACCUCCAGUGUGUCUGUCGCUCUUUGGAGAAUCCAGCAGGGAACGCCCCAGGCCUCAGAAUUCCUCAUUCACCCCACUGUGUGGCUCACCACAAUGAGCUUUGCUGUGUUCCUGAUCCACGCCGAGAGGAAGCAGGGAGUCCGGGCAUCUGGGGUGCUGUUUGGGUACUGGCUUUUCUGCUUUCUCCAGCCAGCUACCAGCGCUGCCCAGCAGGCCUUGCAAGGGGGCUUCCAGAGUGACCCCUUCUACCACCUGACAGCCUACCUGUGUUUGUCUCUGGUCGUGGCACAGUUUGUGUUGUUCUGCUGCACCGAUCGACCCCCCUUCUUCCCAAAAGACCCCCAGCAGUCUAAUCCAUGUCCAGAGGCUGGGGCCUCUUUCCCCUCCAAAGCCAUGUUCUGGUGGGUUUCUGGGCUGGUCUGGAGGGGCUACAGGACGUCACUAGGACCAAAAGACCUCUGGUCACUUGGGAGAGAAAACUCCUCUGCAGAACUUGUUUCCCAGCUUGAAAGAGAAUGGACAAAGAACCGCAGUGUGGCCCAGCGGACCACCAAGCCAACAGCAGACAAAAGGAGAGGAAGCCGUGGCAUGGAGGCCCCAGAGACUGAGGCCUUCGUGCGUCAAGAGGAGAGCAAGAGGGGCCCACUGCUGAGGGCCAUCUGGCGGAUGUUCCGCUCCACCUUCCUCCUGGGGACCCUUAGCCUUAUCAUCAGUGAUGUCUUCAGGUUCACUGUCCCCAAGCUCCUCAGCCUUUUUUUGGAGUUUAUCGGCGACCCCAAGGCCCCCUCCUGGCAGGGCUAUCUCCUUGCAGUGCUGAUGUUCCUUUCCGCCUUGCUGCAAACGCUGUUUGAGCAGCAGCACAUGUACAGACUCAAGCUGCUACAGAUGAGGCUGCAAACCGCCAUCACUGGCCUGGUGUACAGAAAGGUCCUGGCUCUGUCCAGCGGCUCCAGAAAGGCCAGUGCAGUGGGGGACGUGGUCAACCUGGUGUCCGUGGACGUGCAGCGGCUCAGUGAGAGCAUCAUCUACCUCAACGGGCUGUGGCUGCCGCUCUUCUGGAUUGGCAUCUGCUUUGUCUAUCUCUGGCAGCUUCUAGGACCCUCUGCCCUCAUUGCCAUCGUUGUCUUCCUGAGCCUCCUCCCUGUGAAUUUCCUCCUCACCAAGAAGAGGAACCGCCAUCAGGAAGAGCAAAUGAGGCAGAAGGACUCUCGGGCGAGGCUCACCAGCUGCAUCCUAAGGAACGUGAGGAUGGUCAAGUCUCAUGCUUGGGAGGGAGCCUUUCUGGACAGAAUCAUGCGCAUCCGGGGCCAGGAGCUGCACGCCUUGAAGACCUCCAGCCUCCUCUUCUCCGUGUCUCUGGUGUCCUUCCAAGUGUCCACAUUUCUGGUCGCGCUGGUUGUGUUUGCAGUCCACACUCUGGUGGCCAAGGACAACGCCAUGGACGCCGAGAAAGCCUUUGUGACCCUCACGGUUCUCAACAUCCUCAACAAGGCGCAGGCCUUCCUGCCUUUUUCCAUCCACUCUGUGGUCCAGGCCCGCGUAUCCUUUGACCGUCUGGCUGCCUUCCUCUGCCUGGAAGAAGUUGACCCUGGAGCCAUGGACUCAUGUUUCUCCAAAUGCUCUGCUGGGGAGAAUUGCAUCAGUGUGCGCGAAGGCACUUUCGCUUGGUCCCGGGAAAGCCCCGCAUGCCUGCGCAGGAUAAAUCUCACUGUGCCCCAGGGCUGUCUUCUGGCUGUUGUUGGCCCGGUGGGGGCAGGGAAGUCCUCCCUGCUCUCUGCCCUCCUUGGAGAGCUGUCUAAAGAGGAGGGGUCCGUGAGCAUCAAGGGUCCUGUGGCUUACGUGCCCCAGGAGGCCUGGGUCCAGAACACGUCCCUGGUGGAGAAUGUGUGCUUCGGGCAGGAGCUGGACCCACUGUGGCUGGAUAGAGUCCUGGAGGCUUGUGCCCUGUGGCCAGAUGUGGGCAGCUCCCCUGCAGGAGUCCACACCCAAAUCGGGGAGCAGGGCAUGAAUCUCUCUGGAGGCCAGAAGCAGCGGCUGAGCCUGGCACGGGCUGUGUACAGGAAGGCUGCUGUGUACCUGCUGGAUGACCCUCUGGCAGCCCUGGAUGCCCAUGUCACCCAGCAUGUCUUCAACCAGGUCAUCGGGCCUCAUGGGCUGCUCCAGGGGACAACACGGAUUCUCGUGACCCACACGCUGCACGUCCUGCCCCAGGCCGAUUGGAUCGUGGUGCUGGAAGAUGGGACCAUUGCAGAGAUGGGUUCCUACCAGCAGCUUCUGCGUGGGAAGGGGGCCCUGGUGGGCCUCCUGGACCGAGCCAGUCAGCCAGGAGAGAGAGGAGGAGAAGCAGCACCCACAGGCGGCACCAAGGACCUCAGAGGCUCCGCUGGAGGCAGGGGUCCCACGAGUGGACAGGAGAGGCCCAUGAUGUUAGUCCCUGAGAAGGACAGCACCACUUCAGAGGCCCAGAAAGGGGUUCUCCUAGAUGAUCCUGAGGGGGCAGGACGGCCAACAGGACAGGACAGUGUGCAGUAUGGCAGGGUGCAGGCCGCUGUGUACCUGACCUACCUCCGGGCUGUGGGCAUCCCCCUCUGCCUCUACGCCCUUUUCCUCUUCCUCUGCCAGCAAGUGGCCUCCUUCUGCCGUGGCUACUGGCUGAGCCUGUGGGCCGACGACCCCACUGUGGACGGGCGACAGAUGCAGGCAGCCAUGCGGGGCUGGGUAUUCGGGCUCCUGGGCUGCCUCCAAGCCAUUGGGCUGUUUGCCUCCAUGGCCACAGUGCUCCUAGGGGGGAUCCGGGCAUCCAGCAUGCUCUUCCGGCAGCUCCUGUGGGAUGUGGCGCAGUCUCCCAUUGGCUUCUUUGAGCAGACGCCCAUCGGGAACCUGCUGAACCGCUUUUCCAAGGAGACAGACAUAGUAGAUGUGGACAUCCCCGACAAACUCCGGUCCUUGCUGAUUUAUGCCUUGGGACUUCUGGAAGUCAGCCUGGUGGUGACAGUGGUCACCCCGCUGGCUGUCGUGGCUCUCUUACCACUGCUGCUCCUCUAUGCUGGGUUUCAGAGCCUGUACGUGGCCAGCUCAUGCCAGCUCAAACGCUUGGAGUCAGCCAGGCACUCAUUCGUGUGUUCCCACGUGGCUGAGACGUUCCAGGGCAGUGCAGUGGUCAGGGCCUUCCGGGCCCAGGACCUGUUUGUGGCUCAGAAUGAUGCGUAUGUGGAUGAAAGACAGAGAGCCAGUUUCCCACGGCUGGUGGCUGAUAGGUGGCUCGCGGCCAACCUGGAGCUCCUGGGGAACGGGCUGGUGUUCGUGGCUGCCGUGUGUGCUGUGCAGAGCAAGGCCCAUCUCAGCGCCGGCCUCGUGGGCUUCUCUGUCUCUGCCGCCCUCCAGGUGACCCAAACGCUGCAGUGGGCUGUUCGCAGCUGGACAGACCUGGAAAGCAGCAUCGUGUCGGUAGAGCGGAUGAAGGACUAUGCCUGGACACCCAAGGAGGCGCCCUGGAGGCUGCCCACCUGUGCAGCCCGGCCACCCUGGCCUCACAGGGGGCAGAUCGAGUUCCGGGACUUUGGGCUCCGAUACCGACCCGAGCUUCCAUUAGCUGUGCGGGGUGUGUCCUUCAGGAUCCACGCAGGAGAGAAGGUGGGCAUUGCCGGCAGGACAGGGGCUGGGAAGUCCUCCCUGGCUGGGGGCCUGCUGCGGCUCCGGGAGGCAGCCGAGGGCGGGGUCUGGAUCGAUGGCGUCCCCAUCGCUGAUGUGGGGCUGCACAUGCUGCGGUCUAGGAUCACCAUCAUCCCCCAGGACCCCAUCCUGUUCCCCGGCUCUCUGCGGAUGAACCUCGACAUGCUGCAUGAGCACACAGAUGAAGCCAUCUGGGCAGCCCUGGAGACAGUGCAACUCAGAGCCCUGGUGGCCAGCCUGCCUGGCCAGCUGCAUUACGAGUGUGCCAGCCAAGGUGACGAGCUGAGUGUGGGCCAGAAGCAGCUCCUGUGUCUGGCACGUGCCCUCCUCCGGAAAACCCAGAUCCUGAUCCUGGAUGAGGCCACAGCCGCCGUGGACCCAGGGACAGAGCUGCAGAUGCAGGCCGCCCUGGGGAGCUGGUUUGCACAGUGUACAGUGCUGCUCAUCGCCCACCGCCUGCGCUCUGUGAUGGACUGUGCCAGGGUGCUGGUCAUGGACAAGGGGCAGGUGGCAGAGAGCGGCAGCCCAGCCCAGCUGCUGGCCCAGAAGGGCCUAUUCUACAGGCUGGCGCAGGAGUCAGGCCUGGUCUGAUCCAGACCCCUCAAUGCUCCCCACACCGUGCCAGCCCAGAGAGACUGCCAUGCCUAGAGAUGCAGGUGACCAGGGAUCAUCAGUGGCCCCACGGUGUUGAGUGUAGACCCUUCUGUGCUCUUUCGGAAGAAAACGGCAGAGUAAGCGCUCAAUGCUUACAGACCCAGGACACAGCAACCCACAGGUCAGCCUGAUCAGGGCUCAACCAGUCCUGUCCACCCCGGAGCCAAAACUGACAGCAGCUCUCCACCCUGGCUGCCCACUGGACUCCCCGGAGACCUCAGAAACCUGCCCCUGCCUGACUCCACCUCACACCCAUGAAAUCAGAAUUCCUGGGGCUGGGGCUGCAACAAUGGUUCCUGCAUCAGGAUGCUGAACACUUCCAUCACAAGGACCCCUCACAUUGUCAUUUUGUAACCACACCCAUCUCCCUCCCACGCCCCCCUGCCCACUGUUCUCCACUUGGUAUAUAUUUUUAGCUCGCUCUCUGUGAUUCCAACACGCUGUGAUUCCAACACGCAGCCUGGACUGAGAUGCCAUGCCUCCUGCUGCUCCAAGGAAUGGUUUGUCGGAACCAACACACAACCCACAGCCCACAACAGGCCUGGGCCCUCUCGGGGCACAAGCACACAAACAGCAUGCACUCCGUCCCAAACAGGAUCUGAGGACCCAGGGUUCCCAGGCCCCCUGCUGGUGCCCAGGGCUCGGCAGAUUUCAUACAUUCAUUGAAGACCAAACUGCAGCCCCUUGGGGGUGGUGUCCGAGCAGCAGCCGUAACACGCAGGGAGUUUCCGGUCACCCUUUGCCACUGAGGUGGCUAUGUGGGAGACGCUGUUGGAAGUCAGAGGGCAGGGUGGUGAGGGCCCAGAACUUGCCUUCGUGUGGGGCAAUGCACGGGUCUGUCCCACCAGCAGUCGCAAUUCCAAUACAGUCCUCCCAGGAAAGGGGAGUCCUUUAGAAAGGUGUAAAACAUCCAGGCCUGAGGUCAUACAGACCUAUCUGUAAAGGGAGGAAUGACACAAGGAUCUGGAUCAAAACCUUUUGCCAGCCCAGGGUCCUUCCCUGACCUCACGGCAUUGCUAGUGGGAUCAAGUUAAUACACAAGACGCAUUCAGAGCCGAGCUGGCUACCAAGUACGUGCUCAAUAAAUGUGCAGUUUGAUCAGUACUGUGUCCAAGGGCCUCUUGAGGC